GGGUUUCAACUGCCACCUGGGAGACUGCUGGUAAAGAUGGGAGGUGGCCUUUGCCGCUUUCCAUCUUCUCACUGCAGUUUCUUCACGUGGGCCACUUGUACUUAAAAUGUCUUCUUAAUUUAUUCUUUUUACUUCCCCAGCUCCAAUUUGUCUACAGAUUUACAAAUUUGUUUUAUAGUUUUAUGACUCAAUUUGUAUUUUCGGUCCUAUGAAGCUUUUUGCCUUAAAUAUUUUUCUCUGUUUAUAAGAAUGUGCUGUUUCCUAGGCCAGUUUUGUACACACUCUUCCAUAGAAUAGAUCCAGAAGAAACACAACAAUACUGCCUUCAUCAUAUCAGGAGAUCUUGAUACCAAAUACGAGUGUUGCCUCCAAGAUGCAAGAUCCUGAGGGCUCCAAAGAAUCCACUGUCCGUCACAAAUCGACGGUCCGCCAGCUCAGUUUCAGAGACGUGGUGCUCCGCUGCAGGCCUCAUCCUCAGGUGCACCCUGGCAGUCAGCCAUCUGAAGGUACUAUGGAAAUUCAGUUACUCACUCUUGGGAGCAGAAGGAUUCCAGACCAUUCCUGUGUGCACCCUGGCAGGGAGCCAUCUGAAGAUUUCAGGGACCACCUGGAGGGGAGCGGACCAGAGAGACUUCCUCGGAAUAGGCUGUGGCUCUUCACAAGGUGUCUUCUAUGCUUUAUUUGGGAGCCAUUGCCUUGAGCGUUAUUUCCCAGAUGGUUUUCUAAUGUCACCAACUGAAGAAAAGACCCAUGCACACAGGACACAGCAUGAUCUGAUGCUCACAGCGUUUUCCUUCCUCUCUGAAAACGGACUCAGCGAUUCUGGCAAGCGAGGCUGUCUGAAGAAGGUAUUCAUCAUCUCUGUUUUACCUGACCCAGAAACCAUUCUGCUAGGAAAAACAGUGGGCAUUGCUUGAAAACAGUGUUCUGUGGUUGAAAAACCCACAGUCACCUUGGGCUGGUGGGAAUGUAAAAUGGCGCCUCUUCUGGAUCAUCGUUUGGCAGUUUCUCAAAAGGUCAAACGUAGAAUCACUAUUUGAUCCAACAAUUCUACUCCUAGGUAUAUCCCCAAAAGAAUUGAAAACAAGGAUGCAAACAUAUGCGUGUACACUAAUGUUUAUAGAAAAAAUAUUCACAAUAAUCAAAAGGCAGAAACAACCCAAGUGUCCAAUAACAGAAGAAUGAAUAAACAGUGUGAUAUAAACAUAAA
ensembl:lncRNA LINC01120 long intergenic non-protein coding RNA 1120